AACCUGCCCUUAACUCUGGGAUAAGCCUGGGAAACUGGGUCUAAUACCGGAUAUGACUCCUCAUCGCAUGGUGGGGGGUGGAAAGCUUUAUUGUGGUUUUGGAUGGACUCGCGGCCUAUCAGCUUGUUGGUGAGGUAAUGGCUCACCAAGGCGACGACGGGUAGCCGGCCUGAGAGGGUGACCGGCCACACUGGGACUGAGACACGGCCCAGACUCCUACGGGAGGCAGCAGUGGGGAAUAUUGCACAAUGGGCGAAAGCCUGAUGCAGCGACGCCGCGUGAGGGAUGACGGCCUUCGGGUUGUAAACCUCUUUCAGUAGGGAAGAAGCGAAAGUGACGGUACCUGCAGAAGAAGCGCCGGCUAACUACGUGCCAGCAGCCGCGGUAAUACGUAGGGCGCAAGCGUUAUCCGGAAUUAUUGGGCGUAAAGAGCUCGUAGGCGGUUUGUCGCGUCUGCCGUGAAAGUCCGGGGCUCAACUCCGGAUCUGCGGUGGGUACGGGCAGACUAGAGUGAUGUAGGGGAGACUGGAAUUCCUGGUGUAGCGGUGAAAUGCGCAGAUAUCAGGAGGAACACCGAUGGCGAAGGCAGGUCUCUGGGCAUUAACUGACGCUGAGGAGCGAAAGCAUGGGGAGCGAACAGGAUUAGAUACCCUGGUAGUCCAUGCCGUAAACGUUGGGCACUAGGUGUGGGGGACAUUCCACGUUUUCCGCGCCGUAGCUAACGCAUUAAGUGCCCCGCCUGGGGAGUACGGCCGCAAGGCUAAAACUCAAAGGAAUUGACGGGGGCCCGCACAAGCGGCGGAGCAUGCGGAUUAAUUCGAUGCAACGCGAAGACCCUUACCAAGGCUUGACAUGAACCGGAAACACCUGGAAACAGGUGCCCCGCUUGCGGUCGGUUUACAGGUGGUGCAUGGUUGUCGUCAGCUCGUGUCGUGAGAUGUUGGGUUAAGUCCCGCAACGAGCGCAACCCUCGUUCCUAUGUUGCCAGCGCGUGAUGGCGGGGACUCAUAGGAGACUGCCGGGGUCAACUCGGAGGAAGGUGGGGACGACGUCAAAUCAUCAUGCCCCUUAUGUCUUGGGCUUCACGCAUGCUACAAUGGCCGGUACAAAGGGUUGCGAUCCUGUGAGGUGGAGCUAAUCCCAAAAACCCGGUCUCAGUUCGGAUUGGGGUCUGCAACUCGACCCCAUGAAGUCGGAGUCGCUAGUAAUCGCAGAUCAGCAACGCUGCGGUGAAUACGUUCCCGGGCCUUGUACACACCGCCCGUCAAGUCACGAAAGUUGGUAACACCCGAAGCCGGUGGCCUAACCCCUUGCGCCGGAGGCCCC
rnacentral:rRNA from 1 species